AUUGAAACACUGGCUCCCGUACGAUCACCGAAGUUAAGCAACGUUGAGCCUGGUCAAUAGAGUGAUGACCGCUUGGGAAUACCAGGUGUUGUAAG